AGGCCUAACACAUGCAAGUCGAGCGCCCAGCAAUGGGAGCGGCGGACGGGUGAAUAACACGUGGGAAUAUGCCUUUCGGUACGGAAUAACGCAGGGAAACUUGCGCUAAUACCGUAUACGCCCCUCGGGGGAAAGAUUUAUCGCCGAAAGAUUAGCCCGCGCAGGAUUAGCUAGUUGGUGAGGUAACGGCCCACCAAGGCUACGAUCCUUAGCUGGUUUGAGAGAACGAUCAGCCACACUGGGACUGAGACACGGCCCAG
rnacentral:rRNA from 1 species